GCAUUGGUGGUACAGUGGUAGAAUUCUAGCCUGCCACGCGGGAGACCCGGGUCCGAUUCCCAGGCCAAUGCA
rfam:Danio rerio chromosome 4, GRCz11 reference primary assembly.